rnacentral:rRNA from 1 species
ACGCUCGACACCUACGGGAGCAGCAGUCGGGAAUAUUGCGCAAUGGAGGAAACUCUGACGCAGUGACGCCGCGUAUAGGAAGAAGGUUUUCGGAUUGUAAACUAUUGUCGUUAGGGAAGAGAAAGGACAGUACCUAAGGAGGAAGCUCCGGCUAACUACGUGCAAGCAGCCGCGGUAAUCUGAGCGGGCUGGCAAGGC